rnacentral:rRNA from 2 species
UGAGGAAUAUUGGUCAAUGGUCGAGAGACUGAACCAGCCAAGUAGCGUGCAGGAUGACGGCCCUCUGGGUUGUAAACUGCUUUUAGUUGGGAAUAAAAGGGAGUACGUGUACUCUGUAUUGUAUGUACCAUCAGAAAAAGGACCGGCUAAUUCCGUGCCAGCAGCCGCGGUAAUACGGAAGGUCCAGGCGUUAUCCGGAUUUAUUGGGUUUAAAGGGAGCGUAGGCGGGAUAAUAAGUCAGUUGUGAAAGUUUGGGGCUCAACCUUAAAAUUGCAAUUGAUACUGUUAUUCUUGAGUGCACGCAGGGGUGCCGGAAUUCAUAGUGUAGCGGUGAAAUGCUUAGAUAUUAUGAAGAACUCCGAUCGCGAAGGCAAGUGCCCGGAGUGCUACUGACGCUGAGGCUCGAAAGUGCGGGUAUCAAACAGG